ACGAAGCACAGAUGUAGAAUUUCUUCAGAAAGGAAGCGCCUGUGACUGAAUGGCGGACGGGUGAGUAACGCGUGGGCAACCUGCCCCAUACCGGGGGACAACAGCUGGAAACGGCUGCUAAUACCGCAUACGUUUUCGGUGCCGCAUGGCGCCGAAAAGAAAACUCCGGUGGUAUGGGAUGGGCCCGCGUCUGAUUAGCUAGUUGGGAGGGUAACGGCCUACCAAGGCGACGAUCAGUAGCCGGCCUGAGAGGGCGACCGGCCACAUUGGGACUGAGACACGGCCCAGACUCCUGCGGGAGGCAGCAGUGGGGAAUAUUGCACAAUGGGGGUAACCCUGAUGCAGCGACGCCGCGUGAGCGAAGAAGUGCCUCGGUAUGUAAAGCUCUAUCAGCAGGGAAGAAAGUGACAAAACAAGACUAAGAAGCCCCGGCUAACUACGUG
rnacentral:rRNA from 1 species